CCAAUUGUAUUGUUCCGCAGCAGAAAUUCAAGAUAUGGCAAUGUCUGUAGGAGGAGGAGAAGGGGCCGUCGACCACCGAGACCUGGAGGCAGAAUUCCUGAGGGCAGCGGGGUGGGCUACCAUCCUGCUCUCCUCCACCGCCCUCCUUCGCCCGCCUCACGACAUUCCUCUGUUCCGACUCCUUUUCUUGCUGCUGCUCUUUGCCGGUUGUGCCAUGCUGUUCGCGUCCUUCACUCCAUUUCCGUUCGCGAGGAGGGCGGCUAUCCGUGUCGCACUGCUGCUGGCCUCCUUCGCCGGAUACUAGAUCAUGAUUAUAUAUAUAUAUAUAUAUAUAUCUUACGUGUGAUCGAUACUUUUCUGCUUAAAGCUACUGUUCUGUUAGAGUGGUGAAUGCUACUUGGGUAGGUCUGUUUCAUUAUAGAGUGAUCGAUAUUUUUAACGUUGAAUGUUACUUGUGUCCACGUUGAAUUUUGCGUUGAAAAAGGGUUUUAUUGCGAAAACCUUAAAAUAGAAAAUGGGAAAUUGGAAAUAGAUCCACGAGUCUACCGGUAUCCGCACGCCACAAGCUGAGCUGAGGGAGAACCCUAGUUAGAUUAGACGGCCUCCGUCCGCUCUCCUUGCCGUCCUGUUCCUUCCUUCUUCUCUCUCCGCCCACGAAAUUUGAGGGAUCCGCGUUGUUACUGCUUCGGUGAUGCUCUCAGUCCCUCGUCGCUCUAAACGCGCCCUCUUCGUGGGCGGCGUCUUCGUCAAGACCUCUCUGCUCGAAGCUCGGUCUACUCACCGCCACCGUUCCUCCUGGACCGCCUUCCCCGUCGACGCGCACCAAUCAGAUGUCCUCCCGAAGUCAAAAAUCUCUUCUUUUGUCUGAAGCCUCCCCGAUUCUUCUUCCAUCUUGCUCUCCCCGUACUCAUGGCUGCACAGGCCGCAGUUGUAGGCUACAAGGUAGCCAUGCGGAUCGGUUAUUUGACAUCGAAGCCGGAGGAAAUUGGGACUGAUGGCCGUGGCUGCAAUCCCUGGGAAGCAAUUACGAGAGUUAUGCCCGCAGGACCCCAUGUAUACUUUUUAGACAACAAGAGGAUUUUGGAUGACGAGUGCUGAAUGCUGACCUUCAACGAAUCCAAGUUUGGCAACCAUUGUUGGCAUGACACCAUUAGCCAACUAUCUAUCCAAGUAUAUUAGGAUUUAAGACAACAAAUUUAACAGUUAACUGAUAACUGCGUGCAAUUUGUCAAAAUGUGACAUGUGAAUUCUUUGUAACCUGUGAUUUUAUUUUUAUCUAUAUAGUUUUCUUCAAGAGAUUAAGCUCUAUUUAACUUUGGGAAUCAGGCAUACACUGAUUUAAGAUAAAUUGAAUUGUUUUUGUACUUUGUUUUAUAGUGUUUUUUGUUAUUGCAUUCAAUUGAGAUUUGAUAAACGUUGGGAUAAGAUUUUAUAAAUUUGCUAGGAAAAAACUUGAAGGGAGUUCUUAUGAUUAAAUAAGAUUACAUAAGCAAUCUGUUAAAUUUGGGUGAAGCUCAUUCCAUCCUGACUACUAGUCAUUUUGGAGGGGGGCAUGCUAUAUAGAUAUAUUUGAGCACGACACUUGUUUUUACGAAUGUAAUGAGCAUGAAGCAUUCUACUUCAACAUAAUGCAAUAUCGCUAUCAGCUAAUUGGAGUGAGUUUCUAACAGACUCUGAUUGCUUGCCAGUGGGGUAUUCAUUUUUAAUGACAUUUAGUUUCACAUUUUAGCUAACCAGAAAUCCUUAGAACAAACAUAGCAUGAUGAUAUUGAUGAUGAUUUAAUUGUACAUUUAGGGCUGUGCAAAAAAAUCAAGAAACUGAAAAUCGGACCGGAACCGGUAGCUUACCAGUUUACCGGUUAACCAAUUUACCGAUCGGUUCCUAGUUUAGGAUUUUUUUUACCGGUUUAACCGGGAACUGACCGGUUUUCUUUGGAGAAUUUUUAGUUGGGCCUUUAGUUAAUUUGUUUAUAAAAAAACCCAAUAACCCACUCUACUAAGUCCACUUAACCAAGCCCCUGUUAUGUUACUGGUUCUUGGUUGGAACCGGUACAACCGGAACCGGUUCUACCGGUAAGAAUACCGGUCAGUUAACCAGUUUUACAUAAAACAUGGUAAAUCAGAAUUAACCUGAACUGAUAAAUCGGUCAACCGGUUAACUGACUAGUUGAACAGGCCUAUGCACAUUUUAAGACCAAAGCAAUAUCCACUAUAAUCUGCCACACCAGAUUGUCGGUUGGCAUAUUUGUUAUGGAGUUUUCUACUAACAAUUUCCCUAUCGUGUUAAAUAAUUUCUCAACUCCGCCCAUAACGAAUCAUUCAUGGUCGGUCCCAAGCCCGGAUAAAGGAGGGGGAUUGCGUUACGUUGCUAGCCAGCGUUAAAACUAUGGCAAAUAUUCAAUGAACGGAUCCAUUAAACUAGUGUGCUAAUGUUAGGUUAUUCUUCGGAAAGAACGCGUUGCAAGAUCCAACUGUAAUGUCUCGGCAAGGACCGCUACAUUUCUAGAACUCGAAUGCAGUGCUAAAUAUGUAAGAGUUCACUUUGCAGGGUUCGACUGUAACGUAUCGGCAAGGAUCAUUACAUCUUCAUGAGAACUUGGGUGUAGUGUUAAAUAGGCAAGAGUUCUCACACCAUAGGUUGGAUAAGAACAAAUAUGAUAGGAAGUUAAUAAUCUAAGAUUUGGAAUAUGGACCAUAGGAAUCCUCACUGGUAAAUUAAUAGAGAUAGUAGAUAUGAUGAUUAAAAGAAGAAUUAAUAUUUUGUGUGUACAAGAGACAAAAUGGGUAUGUGAGAAGGCAAAACUGAUAGAGAACUCAGGUUUUAAAUUAUGGUACACAAAAAAGAGUAAAGCAAGAAAUGAAGUAAGUAUUAUUGUAGAUAGUUUAUAAAGGAUAAAAUUGUAGGAGUAGUUAGAAAAGGAGAUAGAAUUAUAGUCCUUAAGAUAAUAGUGACGAAAGAAACUAUGAACAUAAUUAGCAUAUAUGCACCGCAAGUAGAAUUAGAUGAAGCUGCCAAAUCAAGGAUUUGAGACAACUUAGAUGAAAUAUUAUAAAAUAUUUCGCCAAAUAAAAUGAUUUUAAUAGGAGGUGAUCUAAAUGACAUGUUGGAGUGAAAAAUGAGAAAUAUGAAAGGGUACAUAAGGGUUAUGGGUUUGGA